UUUUCAUAUAUAUAGUUUUUUAAAAGUUUUUCAUAUACUUGUGUUGUAGAAUAUAUUUAAAAUCCUUGACUCACUUAAAAACAUUUGUUUUAGGGAUGAUUUUGAUGUUGAAGAUGUGAUACCUGUUCUACAAAUGAUAACAGCUGUAUCACAAAAACUGUCAUUGCUACCAGUUUCUAUAUGUCAGCUCACCAUUCAAACCUAGUGCUGUUUACAUCAUGUUAAAAUAUCUGAAGAUUCCGUCAGCUUGGUAACCAUUUGUGAAAUCAUAGAACAAAGUUAUUCAUCAUGUUCAAACAAGACCAUAAAUCUACCAGAUGAUCUUUUUAAACAUUCUUCAGAAAUGUUGAUGACUGUCCUGCCCAUCAUU